rnacentral:rRNA from 1 species
CAAAAACAUGUCCUUUUGUUUAUUUAUUUAAGGUCUGACCUGCCCAAUGAGGAAUUGAAUGGCCGCAGUAUUUUAACUGUGCUAAGGUAGCAUAAUCAUUUGUCUUUUAAUUGAGGGCUGGAAUGAAGGGUUGGACGAGGUAUUAACUUUCUUUGAUUUAAUGAGGAGAAUUUAAUUUUUGAGUUAAAAAGCUUAAAUUUAUUUGUGGGACGAGAAGACCCUAUAGAUCUUUAUAGUUUUAUAUUUUAAUAAUUUGGUGAUUUAUUUGUUUUAAGUAGAUGAACUAUUUUGUUGGGGUGACUGUAGAAUUUAAAUAACUUCUAUUAUUUUAUUUCAUUAAUUAAUGUUUUUGUGAUCCAUAUUUUAUGAUUAUAAGAUUAAGUUACCUUAGGGAUAACAGCGUAAUUUCCUCGGAGAGUUCAUAUUGAUGGGGGAGUUUGCGACCUCGAUGUUGGAUUAAAAUAAAUUAUGGAUGCAGGAGUCGAUUUACUAGGUCUGUUCGACCUUUAAAUUUUUACAUGAUCUGAGUUCAAAACCGGAGA